rnacentral:tRNA from 1 species
GCUGGUGUAGCUCAGCUGGCUAGAGCAGCUGAUUUGUAAUCAGCAGGUCGGGGGUUCGAGUCCCUUUACCAGCUCCA